rnacentral:rRNA from 1 species
GACGAACGCUGGCGGCGUGCCUAACACAUGCAAGUCGAGCGAGGAACUUCGGUUCCUAGCGGCGGACGGGUGAGUAACACGUGGGUAACCUGGCUCAUAGAGGGGGAUAGCCUCUCGAAAGGGAGAUUAAUACCGCAUAAGAAGCGAAAGUCGCAUGGCUUUAGUUUUAAAGGAGUAAUCCGCUAUGAGAUGGGCCCGCGGCGCAUUAGCUAGUUGGUGAGGUAACGGCUCACCAAGGCGACGAUGCGUAGCCGACCUGAGAGGGUGAUCGGCCACAUUGGUACUGAGACACGGUCCAGACUCCUACGGGAGGCAGCAGUGGGGAAUAUUGCACAAUGGGCGAAAGCCUGAUGCAGCAACGCCGCGUGAGUGAUGACGGCCUUCGGGUUGUAAAGCUCUGUCUUUGGGGACGAUAAUGACGGUACCCAAGGAGGAAGCCACGGCUAACUACGUGCCAGCCGCCGCCGUAACAC